UCACUCUACUGCGUUUAUUUUGCAACACAUACAAAAACUGCCGUGUGCUGUAUCACUGAAUUGUCCAUAAAACCUGCCGUUUAAAUUCUAUGGCAUUAUAUCCAGAACGGUGCACAGCAGAGGAAUACCUCCAGCGUAUGACGAGGGAAUGACCACCACCACGCAAGGAUGCAUAAGUACAUGAAUUUAGGUGACUUUCUUCUCAGUCUUGUUGGCUCCUUCAUUAUUUGUGAGCCCUUUCUGCAGCAGAACUUGGGAUAUAUCAUUACUUGAGGAAAUGUA
rnacentral:lncRNA from 1 species